UGGGGAAUUUUGGACGAAUUGGGCGAAAGCCUGAUCCAGCAAUGCCGCGUGUGUGAAGAAGGCCUUCGGGUUGUAAAGCACUUUUGUCCGGAAAGAAAUCCUUGGCUCUAAUACAGUCGGGGGAUGACGGUACCGGAAGAAUAAGCACCGGCUAACUACGUGCCAGCAGCCGCGGUAAUACGUAGGGUGCAAGCGUUAAUCGGAAUUACUGGGCGUAAAGCGUGCGCAGGCGGUUUGCUAAGACCGAUGUGAAAUCCCGGGCAUCCAAGCCUGGGAACUGCAUUGGCGACUGGCAGGCUAGAGUAUGGCAGAGGGGGGUUAGAAUUCCACGUGUGAGCAGUNAAAUGCGUAGAGAUGUGGAGGAAUACCGAUGGCGAAGGCAGCCCCCCUGGGCCAAUACUGACGCUCAUGCACG
rnacentral:rRNA from 1 species